AUUGAACGCUGGCGGAAUGCUUUACACAUGCAAGUCGAACGGCAGCACGGGCUUCGGUCUGGUGGCGAGUGGCGAACGGGUGAGUAAUGUAUCGGAACGUGUCCAGUCGUGGGGGAUAACGUAGUGAAAAUUACGCUAAUACCGCAUACGAUCUAUGGAUGAAAGCGGGGGAUCGCAAGACCUCGCGCGAUUGGAGCGGCCGAUAUCAGAUUAGGUAGUUGGUGGGGUAAAGGCCCACCAAGCCAACGAUCUGUAGCUGGUCUGAGAGGACGACCAGCCACACGGGAACUGAGACACGGUCCAGACUCCUACGGGAGGCAGCAGUGGGGAAUUUUGGACAAUGGGCGAAAGCCUGAUCCAGCCAUUCCGCGUGCAGGAUGAAGGCCCUCGGGUUGUAAACUGCUUUUGUACAGAACGAAAAGGUUUCUACUAAUACUAGGAGCUCAUGACGGUACUGUAAGAAUAAGCACCGGCUAACUACGUGCCAGCCGCCGCCGCAG
rnacentral:rRNA from 1 species